rnacentral:lncRNA from 1 species
UCAAAACAAGCUAAAAACGCUCAAAUCUGCCUAAAAACACAAAUUGGGCAGAUUUGGACUCUAACACACUUUUGGGACACCUAAAAACACAAAUCAAAACAGAUUUUGACUAAUAAAACACUUUAAAGUAAAAGGGGUUUUGGUUUUGACGAAUUUGAAAACAAAACAAGUAAAUUAAAGAACUAAUGAAAUCUGCACGAAUUUGAGUAAAUUGAAUGGAUGGAAGGCUAGCUAGGAGGUUCUUCUCCACACAUGACAUA